GACGGAGACUGGCUGGUUGGCUACUGCAUUCAUGAGUAACUUCUCGUCGUUCGUGGGAACGAUCCCGUAGCCGGUUAUGGAGACGGCAUGGUCCGAUUGCUUGGUGGAGUUGCAGGUGGACACAUUCGGGUGGUACGGAUAGUUCGCUUCCGUCGUGAUGCCUCCAUUGGAGACGACGUAUGAGAAUGCAUGGUAAUGCAGACCUCCGCUACAUCCAUUAUCGUUGUCGUCACAGGCGAGCAGUUGUUGCUCCGACAAAGGUAUGAGGCUCCCCUUCGCGAUCUUGUUGAUGCUUUCCAUCGAUGCUACAGCAGAGAAUGCCCAACAAGCUCCUGGAUGUACCAUGCACCGAAACGAGGAAAACCAUAGGCGAUAGGGCCACGACAGGCCCUCAAAUAAUUAAUUGGAUGGGAAUGGAAGAGCUGCAGGAGGACGAGUCCUUACCGCACGUUGUUUGGUCCUUGACAGGGGUCACCGCUCCCUUAUUCCGCCAAUCGAUGCUACUGGGAGCAGUCAUAUUCACGUACCGGAAAGGCUGCAACCCUGGAUAUGAGGCGUCUGAUGGCCUCAUGCGUCCGGUGGCGUAGGUAGAAAGGAAUUCUUCCUUUGUGAGGUCCGCGAAGCGGUUGAGGCCGAUGGUGUAGCUGCGUCCCCCGGCUUGGAGGAAGGCGUUCACGUGCUCCAUGUUCCUGGUGAACACACCAAGGCGAUAUAACUUUUCGGCUUUGUCCUCGUACGCUCGCCCGUGCUGAGCUAUCCACUGCUCGAACAUGUCGACGGGAGUGCUGCCUAAGGUUGUCUGCCAACCCCACCAGCCGUAGACGAGGAAUAACAGCGCUACAAUCUUGAGUGCACAAUCCAUGCUGGUUCAUAUCAGGAGUCUAAUAUAUAUAAAUAUAUUAAUAGAAAUAAAAUAGAAAGAAGAAGAUUGCAUUGAUUGAAACAAUACACAAUACUCCAUAUUUAUACAUGUUUGGAAAGAGGAAUUUUCCUCAACAGAGGAGGAUUUUCCUCAACAAAGGAGGAUUUUCCUCAACAGAUUUAUGAUAUCUAAUUAAGGAGAUCUUGGUUGUUGUUGAGGUUGUUAUCGCGGGAGAUCUUUGACCAUGAAAGUGAUUUGCGGGUGAGAGGCUUCGUGAGAGAGUCCACUAGUUAGUUGAUCAGCCGUAUAUGCAUGAGAAACACGUAGUUAUGUCUGACAACUUAUUCUCAUAUUGAAAUACUGGAUCGAUGCAUAGAUAAGUGGCUCUGACAUUAUUACAAGGAGUAGAGUUGAUGUUAAUGUCAAGUUCCUUGACGAGAUUCAUGACUCAAUUGAGUUCUGCAGUAGCGGUGGUAAUGACACGGUAUUCAGCUUUACUUGUAGAACAUGCAACUGUCUUUUGCUUCUUAGAACUCUAACUUAUUGGAUUAGGUCCAAGGAAGAGAAUAUACCCCGAUGUGAAUGUUUUGUCAUUAAAAUUCCCUGCCCAAUCGGGAGGAAUGUUUGCGAAAAAAGAGGCCAUGAUUGAUAGUCCCGUGAAGAUAUCGUAAUAUUCAUUUGACUGCAGACCAAUGCAUAGUAGAUGGUCGAUGCAUGAAUUGGGAUAAUUUACUGACCGUAAAUGAGAUAUCUAGACGGGUGAGAGAUAAAUACUGUGAGGAGCCAAGGACUUGACGGUAUUGAGUUGGGUCUGUAGCAGGGCUUCCAUCACAUAGUUUGAGCGAUUCGCCAGUAGACAGAGGUGUUGUAACUGUCUUUGCAUCUUGCAUGUUUGUUUUAGAUAAUAGAUCUUGAAUAUACUUUCGUUGUGAUAGGAAGAGCCCGGAAGAUGUGUAUGUUCCUUCCACUCCCAAAAAAUAGCUCAAGGUUCCUAGAUCAUUAAGGGAGAAUCGAUCAGCUAAAUGCUUAAGGAAUGCCUUGAUUUCCAUAGGAUUAUUACUCGUGACAAUAAUAUCAUCCACAUAUACUAGAAGAUAUAAUAUAUUGCCACUUUGGUAACGAAAAAAUAAAGAGAUAUCGGACUUUAGAGUUGAUGAAGCCAAUUGAUGCCAAAAACGAGCCAAGUUCGGUGUAUCAAGCUCUUGGAGCCUGAGAAGUCCAUAAAUAGCUUUUUGUAGUUUACAAACAUGCUUUGGAUAUUGAAGGUGGAUGAAGCCAGGAGGUUGCUACAUGAAGACAUCGUCAGUUAGGGUCCCCUGUAGAAUGGCAUUGAUAACGUCGAGUUGACGUAAAUGCCAACCUUUUGAGAUAACUAAACUCAGAAUAAGUCGGAUUAUUAUAAGUUUAACAAUAGGGCUGAAUGUCUCUGUGAAGUCAACACCAGGUCGUUGAUGAAACCCUUUGGCCACUUGACACGCUUUAUAUCUAGCUACAGAUCCAUCUGGGUUCUGCUUAAUUCGAAAGACCCACUUACACCCGAUGAUAUUUUGUGUGGGAUGAGAGGGUACAAGGGUCCAUGUAGAAUUAUAGAUGAGUGGAUCAUAUUCUUCACACAUAGCUUUACGCUAGUAUGGAGAUUUUUGAGCUUGAGUAAUUGUGGUAGGUUCAAUGGUCUCUGACGAGGAUGUUGUGAUGGUUUAUAGGUCAAGGAUUUGUCGUAGUUUAAAGACACCACUUUUGGAGUGUGUUGUCAUUGGUUGUCCAGGGGCAAUAGAGUGUGUUGUAGGUAUGGGCGGUGGAGGGGCACAGAUUAGGGUAGGUUGAGAGACUUCAAUGUCAUUGGUCCUAGAAAAGGAUAAAGGUAGUGAUAAUGAUUCCGAGGGAAUGCCUUCAAUCAUAGGAGAACCUUAUGAAGAAGGGAGAGGCACAAUGGAGGGGGUGAGGAGUUGUUGCAUCGGGAGAAGGAGAGAGUGUGGAUCUUGAGGAGAAGGAUUAAAUGAUAUUAUGGGAGACUCGAUUGACGGGAUUGAUGACGUACUCCAGUAAUGUAUAUGUGAUGAAGUAGGUCGCAUAGUAGGAGACUCAGGGUUGUGAAACGGAAAGGUAGUCUCUAUAAAAAUAACAUGACGGGACAUAAAGGCUAUUCAAGAUUGGGGUUCAUAGCAUCGAAAGGCAUUAUGGUCAAGAGAGUAUCCAAUGAAAACGCAAGGUUUAGAUUUUGAUGUUAACUUAUGUAAGGCAUAGGGACGAAGCCAUGGAUAAUAUAAACAUCCAAACACUUUGAGUUUUUGAAGGUUUCGGGAUUUGUGAAAUAAUUUUUCAAAUGAUGACUUGUACUCAAGGACAGGAGUGAGCAUAUGAUUAAUGAGAUAGACGACAAUUUGAAAUACUGCAGUCCAAAAAGUUGGUGGUAGAGAGGCUUGGUGUAGGAGUGUGAGACAAGUUUUAACUAUAUGUCGAUGUUUGCGUUCAGUAGAGCCGACAAGUUGAGGAGUGUGUAGAGGUGACUUGAGGUGUUGUAUACCAAUUCAAUUGAUGUAUGAUUCAAUUGAUGUAUGAUUCUAUUUAUAGAAUUGAGAAACAGAGAUGAGGUUUCAGUUGAUAUGGGGUGUACACAAAACGUCAUCUAGCGUAAACGAAGUGCUUUAUGAAUUAAGCAUUGUAGAACCAGUAUGAGUAACGGAGAGUCCGUUACCGUCACCGAUGAUGAUGACUUCGUUUCCACUAUAGUCAUUUUGGAUGGACAAGUUUUGUAAAUCAAAGGUGAUGUGAUGAGAUGCGCUAGAGUCCACAAUCCAAUUUUGAUGAUUAGUGGUCGGAGUAGCUGUAAGAUUUGUUUGAGGCCAAAACGACUGAGGAGGAAGUCUGGGUCGAGUUCUAUAGACUUUUGCAGAGUGGCCAACUUUAUCACAUAGCUGGUAGAUAACUCUUUGUUGAUUUGUGUGAUCAGGACGCCAGGGUUGAGGAUAAUUGAAGUAGCCGCCUUGAUGGUUGUAAUUGAAAUGUUUCGAAGAUUGAGGAGGGGAUGUUUGCUUGGAGCCCACAAGUUUAGGAGGCAUGCUGGCCAAACCUUUGUUAAUAGUUUUGUUGUAUUGGUUGCUCUUCUUCUUAGAUUUUUGACUAACUUGAGCUGUGAUGGAUGGUCUUGGCAACUUAUCCUCACGCUUGAGAUAUAUCUCAUAGUCAGUCAACUUGUCAUAGAGUUUUUCAAAUGACACUGGUGAAUCAUGUGUACAUAUUGCUAUUGCCAAUUCCUUGUACUUGUCUCCUAGGCCGUUGAGGAUAUGAACAGUAACUUCUUCAUCACUGAGGGAAUGACCUAUCAAGGCCAAGUUAUCGAUGAUAAUCCUCAGUAAUAGUACUUCCCUCUUGUUUUAUUGUCAUGAGACUGGACAGGAGAAUAAGCAUAUAAGUGCGAGAACGAUUGGCUAGGGUGGUUUGCAACUUGCAUCAAGCUUCAGCAGUAGUGUCACAUGAAGAAAUGAGUGGAGCGAGGGAUCCAGCGACCGAGGCUUGAAUAGCUUGAAGGAUGAGACAAUCCUGGUGUAACCAUAAUUUAUGGUCCGGAUUUGGUACUGGACUGGGUGUGCCUGGGAUGUUGAGCAUCGCUGGUAGAUAAUGAAGAAAGCCAUCAACAUAGCCUAGAAGAUCAUAGCCAAAUAUUAGAUUAGAGAAUUGAGCACGCCAAGAUGCAUAGUUGUCACCUUUGGAUAAUUUGAAGGGGUGAGGAUUGCUGCAUUUAUGGAGUUAAGGCCUGUAUGUGGGAAAGUAUUGCGGUUCUCUGCAGGAACAGUAAUAGGAGCAUCAGAGAUAGAUGAUGAUGACAUAUGGAGGAUAUGUAUCAAUAAGUGAGAGCAACUAGAAGUCUGCAGCAAUGACAAUGAUCAGGGAGGAAGAGAUAUUGGUGGCAAAUGGGUUGUGGGUUAUGGUGGCAAAUAGGUUGUGGGUUGUUGAUCAAUAUUGACAAUGAUCAAUAUUGUGUAAAGUUACGGAUCUCUAUGCAGCAGUGCUGCAGCCUUUGUGCAGCAGUUCUGUAGUUGGGAACUUGGAAAUGGUUUCAAAUGCUGCUUGUCGAGGUGAAGAAGGUAGAGCAGGGGACAACAACUUGGGAGAAGAGUAGAUCACUACUGCUGCAGUUGCUGUGGCUGCGGCGACAAAGAGGGUUGCUGCGGCUACAGCAGAGAGGGCAUCAAUUCUGCUUCUACAGGAAGAGGCAGAGGAAGGGCGACGGUAAAAAAUGCUGCCGGCGUAGGGAGGAAAAGAAGGCACGGCAUAGUGGCCCUUGUUCGGCUUCGAAGGAGGCCGAUGCAAUGAUCCUAAAUGAUGCCCGUGGAAAAUGCUGCAAUGAUAAGAGCUCUCGCCGUGAAGGCCACUUCUAAACAUCUCGAAGUAGACCCAUCUUCUUACUGGACUCCACCGAAUCUUGGCUCCUCCUACUGCCUCGUGGACUGUGACUCCAUCUCAGUCGCUCCCCCCUCUAUCGCUGCUUUCGCCGUGACCGCACCGCACCCGGCGUCGCCAUCAGAUGUGGCAAUUUUCCUUGGUGAAAGGCGAUAGCAACAGCGACAUCUUCCUUCAUCGAGCUCUGAUACCAUGAUAGAAAUAAAAUAGAAAGAAGAAGAUUGCAUUGAUUGAAACAAUACACAAUACUCCAUAUUUAUACAUGUUUGGAAGGAAGAAUUUUCCUCAAGAUAUCUUUGAUUGUUAUUAUAUAUAUAUAUAUAUAUAUAUAUAUAUAUAUAUAUAUAUAUAUAUAUAUAUAUAUAUAUAUAUAUAUAUAUAUAUAUAUAUAAUAAUAUAAUANNNNNNNNNNNNNNNNNNNNUAUAUAUAUAUAUAUAUAUAUAUAUAUAUAUAUGUGUGUAACAAGCGAUAUAAAGUGAUAAAUGUCAAAAUAUAAUAAGCAAAAAGACUACGUGUCAAGUCACACGUGUUAUCACUCACGUGAUUGACUUGUAGGGCACAUAUGACUAGCAUUGGGCAUAUUUGGCUCUACACCUCUAUCGUGAUAGAUUACCUUAGUGCGAGUUAGGUUUCUUGACUCACAUGCCUUGGACACAUUUAGCCCUAUGCUUCCAUCAUCAUAGAUUUACCUUGGUGUGGGUCGGGUUUUUCGACUCUUAUGCCUUGGACACAUUUGACCCUAUGCUUCCAUCAUGAUAGAUUUACCUUGGCGUGGGUCGGGUUUUCCGUCUCACAUGCCUUAUGCAUAUUUGAACUCAUGCUUCCACUAUGGUGGAUUUACUUUUGUGCGGGUCGGGUUUCUCGACUCACACACCUUAAGUAUAUUUGGCCUUACACCUCUGUUAUAGUGAAUAUACCUUAGUGGGGGUUGGAUUUCUCGACUCACACGCCUCAAGCACAUUUGGCUCGAUGCCUUUACCGUGGUUGAUUUACCUUGGCAUAGGUUGGGUUUUUCAACUCACACCUAAGGCACAUCUGACCCUGACCCUCCAACGUGGUAGAUAUACCUUGGCAUGGGUCGAGUUUUCUGACUUACAUGCCUCAGGCAUAUUGUACAUCCGUCGUGAUAUAUUUAUCUUAAUGUGGUUCGGGUUUCUCGACUCACAUGCCUCAGGUAUAUUUGGCUCUAUGCCUCUAUCGUGGUUAGCUUUAAAUUCUUUUUCUGCUAUGAUAGGUUUCAAGUCCUUUGUCUAUUGUAGCAGAUUUCGAAUCUCCCUGCCGUGGUGGAUUUCGAGUUCUCACUCUGCCAUGUUGAAUUUUAAGUCAUAUCUCCUUCAUGACAAGUGACGCUAAGGAUGUCCUAUGUAAGUACUCCACUUUUUGAUACCGGACUAAUAGAUUUGAAAGUUUCAAAUCUAGUACAACCAGUUAUUGGAGUGAUAGCUAACUUUAUAAGAGCUAUUGAGUGUCGAUAGAUAAUCAUUCGCUCUCAGUAUCACGAAAGAAAUAUCCUAUGUUCUUGCUCAAACAAAUCCUUAAUAUGCUCUCACUAUUCAUGAGAGGAAUAAUCAAGAUAUAGACUUCUAUCUUGACAUGCUCUCACUAUUUUUCUAGUGAGUCAUGCGAUACCCUCAAUAUGUGAAACGAAAGUCUCCAAUAGACUUUUAGUGGGUAACAAGAUCUAAUCAGCAUCUUAGUAUAACCUUGAGGGACUUGACUAAUCACACUAAGCUCAAAAGAUAGGCAACUCUUGCCGAUCACAACUUCUUAUGAUUCCCAUCCUGUUUGGCCUUCGAACCACCAUGGCCUCGAGGGACUUGACCAAGUAUACUAUAUCUUCAGGUCACUAGUGAUAUCUCUAUGUUGUAGGUAAAAUAGCGAAUUACAAUAUAGGUAAGUCUCGAGAGACUCGACCAACACAACCUACAUCGGAAAUCGGUUCCUACCUAUAACGAUGGAAGGCCACGUGGGUCAAUCUAAUUGUCUCACGUUUACCAACUUAAUAUUAUCGAGAGAGGAAAUUUUGAUUCAGUCUCCUAUAACAUGUCAAUCACAUACAUAUUUAAUAUAUAUCUACAUCGCAUGUUUGCAACGAUGCAUCUCCAUGCCCCAUGAUCAUCUAUCUCGUCCUUAUAGGUUCCGUCGAUAUCUCGAUGCAUCUCGAUGAGUUGCAAUCGUCCGUCUCUAUCUCGUGAGUCUCGCUAUCGCUUCCGCGCUCUCACUGUAUCUCCUUGUGUAAUUAUAAUAUAAUCGCAGGCACACAAGCUGAACAAUGAAUGAGAAAUAAAUUGGAGGCUCAUAGGCCCCAAUAAUAAUAAUCAUAUCAUAAGUAUACACACAUCACAUGGUGCAUGAUUAUCCGUCCAAAUCAUACAUCACAUAUACAUAUCACCAUGUAGGACUACUAGAUAAUAAUAAUAGUUAAUUAAUUUAUUUAAUUAACUAAUAUAAUUUUUUUUUUCUAAAUUAGGCAUAUGCAAGGAAUUUUCUGAAUUAUGAGGGGUAUUUUGAUAAUUUGGACAAAAAAGAUAGACCUCAAAAUUUUUAAAAUUUUGAGGGGUAAAACUAUUAUUUUUUAAAAACCCUAAACCUCUUCCUUGUGCUUGUUGCCUUGCGAUUGUUGUCACCCCUUGCGGGUGCCGCUAUGGGUGCCAUUUGCUCUUAUGAGCAAGCCGCCCGUAGGCAUCGCCUAUGUGGUUGCUUGCAUGCGGUCUGCAGGCUGUCGACUACCGUAGAUGGCCAAGGCUACGAGCAGCCUUUGGCUAUUCUGCGAGCGCAAUAAGGGCAAUAACAAUUGCUACCUUUUCUCCCUUUUGCGUCAAUAGUUUUGACGAUAAAAAGCUUUUUCAAAAAUAUACACAGUUCAAAAUCAAUCUUUCACAUGAACAACCUAACUUUGGUACUACUAUAGAGAAAUCUAAGGGCGACAUCACAUGUGCAGUGGAAGAACAUAAAACAAAAAAUUCUAAUUUUCCAAAAGGUGUUCAUCGUCAUGCGAAAUUGGAAAUCACGUGUGAGAUAGUUAUGUUACCUAAGGAAAUCGUAUAUCCCUAAAAUCUUACAAAUCUGUGGGAGAGGAUGAAGGAGGUCAAACGUCCUCCUCUCUAGUGGUGAUCCACACGACAAGGCUAUGAAUAAACUACUAGUCAUAGGUGCCCUACAAGCCAAUCAUAUUAGUGAUGAUAUAUGUGAUACGAUACAUAAUUUUUUUGUUUAUUAUUAUUAUGACAUUUUCUCACUUGAUGCAUAAAUAGAUCUACUACUAGUUUCCUCCUCAUAACUAGAUUUGCUAUAGUAAAGCUUAGAGACUAUGUUCUUUGGAGAGAAUCUUCAUGUCUUCCAUUUCUUUUGUACUGUUGAUGAAGUUAACUCUUCUUUUUAUCUUUCAUCUUAUUUUUUUAUAAUAGAAAAAAAAAUAUUUUUUAAAAUAAUCUAUUCAUUUAAAGUGGUCAAGAAUAAUUAUCUAUCAAUGAGGGGAUGUCACUCCCUUAUUAAUUUAUUUAUAAUUUUAUAAUGUUUAAAUUAAUUUUAUAAAUUUUUUUAUCAAUAUAUUAAUAUUAUUUAAUUUUAUUAACAAUUACUUAUUUUGGACUGGUUUAAUAUUGAGUUAAACCGAUCCAAUGUCUUGGUUCAUUUGCAUUCAAUUUAAAAGUUUAAAAGGGAGAAAAAAGAAGGAAAAAAAAUUUGAUGACACUUUCGUAAAUGUAUAAAGUAGGUGCAUCGUUAAAAAAAAAAAACAACAGUCAGAGAGCAUUAUUGAUAUCUCUAAAGAAGUUGCCCUUUAUAAUAUUAUCAUUCAAGAUUUUGAGGAUUUAAAUUUUGUUGUUCGUGCGUGAUUCUUAUAAUUAAACUUAUGCCGUUGAUUUAAAUGAUGAUUGUUCAUGCACAAUUUUUAUUAUCUAAUCUAUGCUGUUCCUGCAUGAUUUUUAGGAGAAGAGUUUAUGAUAUAAAUUUGGGUUGAUGAUAUCUUAAGUUUUGAGUUUGUAAUACACAAUCAAUUAAAAAAUUCAAUUAUUUUUAACAUGAGUUUAUAUUUAAAUCUUAUAUGCACGCCUUCAGUUUUUUUUUAAAGUUAAUCUUUCUAUUUGAAAAAAAGGCUUGAGAUUGAAAUUAAAAUUAGGGAUUCAGGUCCGACCCGAGUCAGACCGGUCCCGGAAACAGGUCAGACCAAGCCGACCCAGGCGGGCUUGAGGUUGUCCAAGGCCCGCGACCAAACGGCUCGACUCAACCGGCUGGCGUGGUUACGCCUCGGCCCCACCCUGGUGUCAUGCGUGACGCCAUCUAUGAUAGACCGAACGAACUGUGAAGUGCGCCGAUAAAUCUCUUCUUUAUUUUCUUAAAAAUAGCUUUCACAGCAAAUACAAAUUUGGGAGAAAGACAUAUGAAAAGAUGGUGCAUUUGCGAAGAUGGAAAGCUUGAGCUGCCAAUUUAGGCCUUACUUAGAUGAUGGGAUAAGAAGCGCGGAUGGCAAGACCACACAGUCCUUCCUUUUGAGCAACGUCCUUCUUGAGCAGAAUGUAGCCGUGAUCACCCCACGACGUGCCCCAUGAAUUCUUAGCUAUCCAAUACGCAGUCCCAUUCUCAUCUGUUCCGUAGCCCACGAGAGUGACUUCAUGAUUCAGGUACGUAUCACAAGGCCCGUCGAAGAUGCCACCUGCGUAGAACUGGAACUCGCCGGCAUCGAUGGAGACGGAGACUGGUUGGUUGGCCACUGCAUUCAUGAGUAACUUCUCGUCGUUCGUGGGAACGAUCCCGUAGCCGGUUAUGGAGACGGCAUGGUCCGAUUGCUUGGUGGAGUUGCAGGUGGACUCAUUCGGUUGGUACGGAUAGUUCGCUUCCGUCGUGAUGCCUCCAUUGGAGACGACGUAUGAGAAUGCUCGGUAAUGCAGACCUCCGCCACAUCCAUCAUCGUUGUCGUCACAGGCGAGCAGUUGUUGCUCCGACAAAGGUAUGAGGCUCCCCUUCGCGAUCAUGUUGAUGCUUUCCAUCGAUGCUACAGCAGAGAAUGCCC
rnacentral:lncRNA from 1 species